UACGGAAGGCAGCAGUGGGGAAUAUUGCACAAUGGGCGCAAGCCUGAUGCAGCCAUGCCGCGUGUAUGAAGAAGGCCUUCGGGUUGUAAAGUACUUUCAGCGGGGAGGAAGGCGGUGGAGUUAAUAGCUUCACCGAUUGACGUUACCCGCAGAAGAAGCACCGGCUAACUCCGUGCCAGCAGCCGCGGUAAUACGGAGGGUGCAAGCGUUAAUCGGAAUUACUGGGCGUAAAAGCGCACGCAGGCGGUCUGUCAAGUCGGAUGUGAAAUCCCCGGGCUUAACCUGGGAACUGCAUUCGAAACUGGCAGGCUAGAGUCUUGUAGAGGGGGUAGAAUUCCAGGUGUAGCGGUGAAAUGCGUAGAGAUCUGGAGGAAUACCGGUGGCGAAGGCGGCCCCUGGGACAAGACUGACGCUCAGGGU
rnacentral:rRNA from 1 species